UACUCUUUUAGUAUAAGUAGUACAAUUGACUUCCAAUUAAUUAGCUUCGGUAUAGUCCGAAAAAGAGUAA
rnacentral:tRNA from 1 species